GCCGCGUCACGACAAAACCAACAUAAUGGGUUUGCGACCAGCAUGGAUCCAGACCAGCCUGCGCAUCCGCGCAGUCUGAUCAGGAUCCAUGCUGUUCGCUUACCAACUCUUUUACAAGUAGAGAAACUGAUAGCGAACAGCAUGGAUCCUGAUCAGACUGCGCGGAUGCGCAGGCUGGUCUGGAUCCAUGUUGGUCGCAAACGCACUAUGUUGGUUUUGUCGUGACGCGGCUCAAAUGGAACCUACUUUCAUUAAUUAGCUAUAUGUAUUUACAAAGAUAUAUCGCAAUCUUUGUCUUAUCUCAUUUUCAGGCUUGCCACAACAAUGUUUACUUACCAAAGUUUAGCGUUUGUGUUCUUGUUAGCGUUUGCUGCAAUUUCUAAAACGGACGGAUGUUCGUCAAAUGUUGACUGUCCACAUGGUCAGUGCUGCGGAAGUAUGCUGCCAGAUUUGCUGGGUCUACUUCAAUCGUGUCAAGUCUACAGCAAGGAGGGUGAGGGAUGUCACGGUUCACUGAAUUGGUGCCAGCUGCGAUUGUGAGCCCGGGUCUCACAUGUGUAGAACAUACGGGUAUUUUUGCAAUCUUGCACACCAGCACAGGGGUUUGCACUGCUCAAGGAGGAACUACCAAUCCUUUACCCGAGAUAUUUGGAAAAUAAGCAUGAAAUUACUGAUGUCUUUUUUAACCUGAACUUACAACCAUUCAAUAAAAUAGAAAUUGCGAUUAAAGUAAAUAAAACUUG